AUGUGAUACGAAAAUUACCGUUUAUAAGAAAUGGUUAUUACUUCGUUUUAAAAUUAUAUAUUAUUAGGCUUAUUAUAUAAAGGUUGUCUCAUUAGCCAACAAUAUUGUGAAUGUUGUCUCAUCAGGUAACAGUAUUAGAAAGGUUGUCUCAUUCGGUAAUGAUAUUAGAAAGGUUGUGUCUCAUUAGGUAACGAAUCAGAAAGGUUGUCUCAUUAGACAAUAGUAUUAGUAUGGUUAUUUUAUUAGGCAACAGUACUAGAGUUGGUUGUCUUAUUAGGCAGCGAAGAAUAAUGGUUACUUUAUAAAGUUAUAAUAUUAGUUUAUUUUAUUAGACAAAUAUUUGAUAUUUAAUGAUAUUUAUAUUGUGUAGUGUGAUUUUCUGUAUACGAAUUAAAAUAUGUGAUUACUUGGUUAUGAUACUAUGUAUUUAUUUGGUUAUAUUUGUAUAUUGAUAUGAAUGUUUGUAUUAUUACUUUUAUUAUUGAGUUUUCGUGACUUACAAGUGCUUUGUGGUGCAGGUAAGAGAAUGAGCAAUUUAGAGCGGCCAUGAGUUAGAGGUCUUCCCCAAUAAAUGAGCAUAUCAGUUUAUCCAACUACCAGUGCCGAGAUGUCAAGAUUUGUUUUUUUUUUUUUUUUUUUGUUAUAGCACUUUUGAGUUACAAGUAUAUUUUAAUGUAAUACUGAAUGACAAUUUUUGAUAUAUUUUUAAAAGGAGAUCCCCGAAUUUAAAAGGUUACAAUGCCAUGAAUUUAUAUAUUUAAUUAAUUAAUAAUUUUUCAAAUUAAAUCACACACAUAGCGUCUUUAUGGGAUAUGGCGUUACAAUACAUUAAGAAAUUAUACUAUAUAUAAUUACUUAAAAAGAAAAAUUUAGCAAUGCAUGCUUAAAAUAGCGAGAAGGUCUUUUAGUAUUCCACUCUACAUAACAUAUGUACUCCAAAAACCCAUAAAUCCAAAAAUACCCUCCUCAUUUGAAUCACACUCUUCCUCUAACUCCCCCCCUCUCUCUAAACCCACCCCGACAGAACCACCAAACACGAUCAACCUCCGCCCCAUCACCUCCACUGUCAUCACCGACGAAACCCAACUACCUUGACAGAAUCCCAUGGUAGAAGCCCAGAUCCAAAUCGCUAAACCCAAUCUCGAAUCGCGAAACCCACAUUAGAGAUUGCAAAAAAGGUAUUUUACCUAAAAUUUUAUUUGAUUUUGAAUGAGUUUUCAGGUUUGUUUUGUUGUUUGUAAGGAAAUUUGUUUGAUUGUAAGGAAAUUUGUUUUUUGUUUGAUUUUCUUUGAUGCCUGUCCAAGUUCUGGUUUUUUGUGGUUUAUCGACGUGUAGCAACAUUAUUUGUGACGUCAUUCAAUUUUGUUUUUGAAUAUAACAAGUUGCAGUAGAUGUUUGUCUUUAUGGAAUGUUUCACGACAUGUCGCGAUGUCAUUUUGCGACGUGUUUUAGUUUGAUGAGCUUUUGGAAUUUUGAUUGUUUGUUGUAGUUUUACAAUGUCUAGCGAUAUUAUUUACGAUGUCUCACGAUAUAUUUGAUUACUUAUUAUUGUCGUCCCCAAUGGCUUCUAUGUUCGUUGUUUAUUUUUAUCAGUUUGUAUCAAUUGUGCGACAUCUCGCAAUAUUCUAGGAUAUUUCUUAAUAUUUGUUGUUAUGGUUUUACUUAUUAUGACAACUAGCGACAUAUGGCGUACGUUUUGCGACUUUUGACGACAUGUUCAGUAACAUGCUGUCAUGAGAUGUCGUUAAUAGUAUCGCCAGAUAUAUACUGCAAAAUUCUACUGAACAUUACAGUUGCUUAUUAAUUAAAUGUAUGUCGUUAACAUGUCAUGAAUAUGUUGCUAAAUUGGAUUUGUUAUUUUAACGACUUAUCACAACAUAUUUGCGACGUAGUUUGCAAUAUUUUUUUUUUUUUUCCAGUUUUUAAUAUGUUUGCUUCCAUUCUUUAGAGAUGGCUCCUGAACUUAAACUUCUAGUUUCAUAACAUUUCGUCCGGCGUCUUACCUAUCAGGGUUCAGAUAGGUUUAGAGAUAUCAAGGUCAAGUUCAUGGAGCUUCAGUUGAUAUCAGGUACUUCUGGGAAGCUAGAGUGCUGACUUUCUCUGGGGCCUUGGUCCACAGUCUUACCAUGAACUCAAAAUUCAUUUUCAAUGCAAACCUUCCCACUACACUUUUCAAUUCAGUCUUGUUUGUGUACAAUUUGCCAACGUGUAUUUCCCCCUGAAGGUGUACCACUAAGAGAAGUUGUAUAAAUAUUAUUUUCCUCUAUGUCUUCCCUUGUUCACACAAUAGGUUUAGAUUUUGUACAAACUUCAAAAUUAGAUCUACAAUACUACCAAAGGGAUCUGGCCGGGUGCUACUAGUGCUUGGUGUUUGGUACAGUACACAUAUACAAUUAAAUCUGCAAAAAAAAAUAUUAGUUAAUAAAAACUAUGUCGAGAAAUAUUGCAAGAUAUGUCACAAGUAAUCGCAAACUAUGUCGAUAAGCAAGUCGCAUAGCAUCGCUACAUGUCGACAAAAUGUUUCCUCCUACUAAACCAACACAAUACUCUAAACUAUCGACACAUGUCGCAAACAAUAUCGACAGAAAUGGCAAAUGUCCAUGGCAAGCAUAAAUUGGCACAUGUUGUAAUUUUAGUUGCUACAUGUCACAGAAUGUCGUUAAAAGUCAUAACCUUCAGCAUACUUUAAUAUAUGUCGCUAUAUAUCGUAGAUUAUCACUAAAACACGUAAAAAUAAACUAGAAAACAUAAAAUUUAGGCAGCUCAAGUUUCGGGAACAAGACAAGUAAAAUAAAAGAAUAAUAUGUGUAAAUCUAUUCAUUUUAACCUAAAUACAAUUUAAUUUAACAAUAAUUAUUAAAUAAAUUACAUACCUAUUAUUAUUUUUUGAAUAUGUUUGUAGAGAAUUCGGGUUGCUCCUACAUAUUUAGUUAAGUUAAGACUCCAAUAAAGGGUGCUUUGAUAAGGGUGCUCCAAAAAGAGUGUGUGUGAGAGUGACUUUCUUGAGAGAGAUGAGAAUGAAAAGGAAAAGAUAGUAAAUAGGAAUUAGUUUUAUUAUGAAAAGGAUAAAUUUAAUACUAACAAAAAUAUAACAUAUUUUGUUUAAUAUUUAACAGGGUAGUAAAUGAUAAAGACAUGCAACAUUAUUGAUGGUCAAAUUUUCCCUUUCAAAUAAGAGCAUUGUUAUUAGGCACCAGUAGUAAUUAGCACCUUUUCGAUAUAUUACAUUGUAAUUGGCUAGUAAUACUUUCUAAAAGCUAUUACAUUAAAUUAUAUAGAACUCGAUACUUAGUUAAACAAUAACGAUAUUGACACAUAUAAAGGUGUUAGCAUUUCUCUUAAAAUAUUAUCAUGUUUAUGUCACUAUAAUUGAUUGAAUUAUAAAACAUGUCCCUACCAUUGUUAUUUAUUUAUGGGAUAUUGGCGGCUAAACCACCUAAACUUUACGGUUUGUAACACUUAACCACCAAAACUGAAUUUUUGGCGGCUAAACUACCUAAACUCUGGUUCCGUUUUGCUCUGCACACCUCCGUCCAAAAAUCACCGUUAAGUGCCACAGUGGACUGUCCACGUGUACACACUUGUACACGUGGCAAAUUUUUAGUGGUCCACGUAAUUUUAAUUUUAAAUAUACUAAAAAUAAUUUAAAAAUUAAAAAAAAAAACAAUUUAUAAAAAUUAAAAAAAAAAAAAAUCUUUUUUUUUUCUCUUUUUCUUUCUCUUUUUCUCUUUCUCUUUCUCCUUCUCUUUCUUCUAGACAGAACCCCCCCUCCCCUAACCAUUCUUCUUCUUCUUCUGCCAUUCUUCUUCUUCUUCCUCUUGGAGACCGGAGAAAAUGGAUUGCACCACUGCCCUUUUGCCUGGCCUUCACACUAAUUACCUUCUCUGCCCCUCCCGCCAUUCUUCUUCUCUUCUUUCCAAAACCCAUUUCCCUUCUCCCCUCAAGUUACAGCUCCAAACAAAGCAGCUUUCUUUUGCUUCUUAAAAAAAUUCUCCGAUUUUUUGCAAUGUUACAUUGUCUGAUGCUUGCAGGUACUCCAUUUCUGAAAUUUGUUUUUAGAUGGAUUAGUUAUAUGUAUGUGAAUGUUAGAAAGAUUUGUUUUGCAAGUUGUUGGUGUUUAUUUCAACGCUCUGGUUGUGUGGAUGAUAAUCAUUUGGUGUUUGGAGCAGUGAAACUAUAAUCUAUGCCCUAUAUAUAAAUUUUUAUCUAGAUCUGCUAAAGGUGGUUAGUUUUGGUGUGAAGGUGAUAAUGGUGGUGGUGUGGUGGUUGUAGUGUGAUGGUGGUGGAGGUGUGGUUGUUGUGGUGGUAUGACUGUGAGGAAGGGGGUCGCUGGUACGAUUUGGGCGAAUGGGGGUUUGGUAGCUGCUGGUGAAGGUGGUUCGUUAUGGUGGCUGGGGGUUUGUUGAUCUGGGAUGGGCGGAGAUGGAUGGAGGGCCUGUAGAAAAACGAAGAAGAACGAAGAAGAAGAAAAAAAAGAAAAGAAAAAAAAAAAGAAAAGAAAAGGAAAAAGAAAAAAAAAAGUAAAAAAAAAUAUUUUUAAUUUUUUUUCUGAUUUUUUUAAUUUUUUAUAAUAUUUUUAAUUUUUUUAAAAAAUUAAUAUUACGUGGACCACUAAAAAUUUGCCACGUGUACAAGUGUGUACACGUAGACAGUCCACUGUGGCACUUAACGGUGAUUUUUGGACGGAGGUGUGCAGAGCAAAACGGAACCAGAGUUUAGGUAGUUUAGCCGUCAAAAAUUCAGUUUUGGUGGUUAAGUGUUACAAACCGUAAAAUUUAGGUGGUUUAGCCGCCAAUAUCCCUUUAUUUAUUUAUUUUGCUGGAAUUGUGUGUACCAUUUCUUGCUUCGUAAUUAUUGGUACACUUGGAAA